GAGGGUGCGCUGGAAGCUGCUGGAGACCGUCCCAGAGUGCUGGCUGGAGUGUGUUCUCACUGGGCUGGUGUGGACUGUCAACAGGUAAGGGAAGGGGAGAUUGCUAGAGGUUAUAAAAAAGGUGUCAAGCUUUGUCUUUGUCCCAUGUCUUUUUCUCGUAAUGCAAGUGUUCUUUUUCCUCUAAGCCUGACAGGGGUCCAGGAUCAUGGGGAACCUGGUGUUGAAGGACAGAAAGUCCACUUAAAAAGCUGUUGUUAUAGCUAAAGUCUUCAACUUCACUCUUGUUUUGAGGAUUCUUCUGGGCUACCCGACUCAGGACAGGGAGAGGCCACUACUUAUACAGGUGCUGCGGUUGCUGUGCCAGGCCUGAGCCAACCCCCUCUGGAGCAGAAGCUCUGUGAGCCGGGCUCUGCUGCUGUGUGUGACUGAGUGAUGCAGAGCUACAGUAGCUACGCUCAGAGUUACUGCAGGUCAUGCUGGGAGGGAUACAGAGUCACCUGGAUAGCAGCGUAGUGCAUGUGAGGGGCAUGGUGGUUGGGGAGUGUCUCCGCUCCUGCAUGGACAUCAACAGAGCCAAGCUCAAACUCGAGGAUGAGGAGACCAAGGAGCUGCUCUCACUGAUGACUCCACUUUCUGAUGAAGAAACGGAGCCGCUUGAUGACAGAUUGGCUCGUCCUCGAGGUCAAAGGGCAGACCAUACCAUCCCAGGCUGCUUCAGUGGCCCAGAAAUCAGGAGCUGACCCAGACUCUUGUUAUACACUACAUUUAUUAACAUAAUGUUGUCUGUGAGACUGAAGUUGUAUAUUUAAUUCAAAUCAUUACAACUUAAUGAAUCUUCCCACGAGCAAGUUAAGGCAUGGUAUA